AUUGAACGCUGGCGGCAGGCCUAACACAUGCAAGUCGAACGAGAGGCGGACGGGUGAGUAAUGUCUGGGAAACUGCCUGAUGGAGGGGGAUAACUACUGGAAACGGUAGCUAAUACCGCAUACCAUCGGAUGUGCCCAGAUGGGUUUAGCUAGUGGGUGGGGUAAAGGCUCACCUAGGCGACGAUCCCUAGCUGGUCUCAGAGGAUGAACAGCCACACUGGAACUGAGACACGGUCCAGACUCCUACGGGAGGCAGAAGUGGGGAAUAUUGGACAAUGGGCGCAAGCCUGAUGCAGCCAUGCCGCGUGUAUGAAGAAGGCCGUCGGGUUGUAAAGCACUUUCAGCUGGGAGGCGUUACCAGCAGAAGAAGCACCGGCUAACUCCGUGCCAGCAGCCGCGGUAAUUC
rnacentral:rRNA from 1 species